GAUCUUUUGGUACAUUUUUAAAAGCCGUUUUACUCAUAGCUCUUAAUUAAUAUAAUUUUAUUAUCAUCAGAUUAGCAUCAUAAUGCCGAAGAAAAGCAAAGUGAACAAGUUAGCUCGCAUGUCUGAUGAGGAACGUGCUCGUUACCUUCAACAUCGAGCUGACAUGGAAGAAGAAGCUCGGAGACGCAAGCAGGAGUUGAUAGCACGGUUUAUAAAGAACAAACUUGAUAAAGAAGAGGCGUACUCUCGUAUGAACACAGCAAAGAUUAACCAAGAAUGGAGAUAUAUUUUACGCAAAAUAAAAUGCAAACAGAUGGCUUUGGAUAUACAGGGUAUGGUAAGCAGCUUUAACUUCAUAAUGGAACGAAAAGACCGGCUUCUAAAAUCACUGAUGCAAGCUCUGGAAGAUUCGGACGAGCAACAUCGACGCGCGUUCCAAGCGCAUACAGAAAACGUCAGCUAUUUCUUAAGUAUAGGUUCUCAACGGCUUGAUAAACUCCAAACUGAGUACGAUUUUCAGAAAAAUACUCUCCUUGAAAAUUGGGAGAAGGAAGAAAUAGACAUAUCAGAUAGUCAGGAGAGAUCAGAGUUCAAGCUGAUUCUAAUAAAAUAUAUACAAGACCGCGAUUUCAUAGCGUACAAAAAACAUAAAGAGUUAGAAAUGGCUACGGCAAAAAAUGAUGCUAAGCUAGAGCAUGAGGAAGAAAUGCGGAGUCUCUGUCAUCCGAAACAGCUAGAGAUCGAGACUUAUUGGUCGAAACUUCGCGAAGUUUACGCUUCGUAUCUAGAGCAACAUAAUCCUAUUAUGGCACAUUACCAAGCGCUUCGGGAGAAAGACGACUUCUACCAGAGGGAUAUUGCGAGAAAUGAGAUACAAAUUCAACAAGCAACUGAAACCGUAAUGACACUUCAAAACGAAUGGCUGAAAACAACGAAUGUGAUGGAGAGCAAACUAUCUCGCAUGCAGAGCCGUAAAGAAGAGUUGUCCAAGAAGUACUGGCAGAUGAAGAAGGAUUUGAACGCCGAGAAGAAUAAAGGCGAAGAAAAGCUAACUAUCAUGGUCAAUGCUAGCCAAGAUGCAAUAAAUCGCCUCGAACAAGUGAAAGAGAAAUUAAACAAAAUAAUGCAAAUGACUGAGAUAUGCCGCAAAUACGAGUUUGAAAACGAUGUUUUAACACUUGACGAAAUUGAAAAUGACAUAAUUGGUCCUGACGAAUAUGAAAAUCUUGAUGGCCCUAUGAUCGUACGUAAUGAGAUAAUAAAUUCAUCAAAGUAUUUCGGUUCUACAAAAGACAAAAAAAAGAUCUAUGGCUGUCACUACAUAUUAUAAAACAAAGAUUUUCCGCCGUGUCUGUCUGUCUGAACGCGAUAAACUCAAAGUCUACCGACUGAAUUUUCAUUCCUUUUUCACCAAUGGUCGCAGAGAUUCAAGAAGCAGAUUUAAGUGCAUAAUUCAUUAACAAUUUGUCAAUACUUAACCGAAUUCCACACUGGUGAAAUUGUGAGCAAAAAACGAAUGCAAAGAAUACAGUAAGAUGGACAAAUUCUUGUUAAAACUAAACAGAGCUAAAGUCCAGACAAUGUGCCUGAAGACCGAAAAAGCCAAACUGGCUAAAGAAAACAUUCAAUUAAAACAUUACAUUAAGAAAUACCUCACAGAACUCGCUUUGAGAGGCAAAGACAGACCGACGAGCGUGAAACAUC
rnacentral:misc_RNA from 1 species